rnacentral:rRNA from 1 species
AGAGUUUGAUCCUGGCUCAGAUUGAACGCUGGCGGCAGGCCUAACACAUGCAAGUCGAGCGGAUGAGUGGAGCUUGCUCCAUGAUUCAGCGGCGGACGGGUGAGUAAUGCCUAGGAAUCUGCCUGGUAGUGGGGGACAACGUUUCGAAAGGAACGCUAAUACCGCAUACGUCCUACGGGAGAAAGCAGGGGACCUUCGGGCCUUGCGCUAUCAGAUGAGCCUA